UACGGGGGGGGCAAGCGUUGUUCGGAAUUACUGGGCGUAAAGGGCUCGUAGGCGGCCAACUAAGUCAGACGUGAAAUCCCUCGGCUUAACCGGGGAACUGCGUCUGAUACUGGAUGGCUUGAGAUUGGGAGAGGGAUGCGGAAUUCCAGGUGUAGCGGUGAAAUGCGUAGAUAUCUGGAGGAACACCGGUGGCGAAAGCGGCGCGCUGGAUCCCUUCUGACGCUGAGGCGCGAAAGCCAGGGGAGCAAACGGG
rnacentral:rRNA from 1 species